GACCGGAUGGCGCAGCGGUUAACAACGCUGACUCUUGUCCCGGGUUCGAUUCCCGGCCGGGGCA
rnacentral:tRNA from 1 species